rfam:Triticum aestivum genome assembly, contig: Triticum_aestivum_CS42_TGACv1_scaffold_500990_6BL
AGCUCCCGCUUGCGCAGGGUCCAGGAAAGGGUCCGACCACUUUGGGUCUAUAAGGUAUAGACCCGAAGUGGUCGGACCCUUCCCUGGACCCUGCGCAAGCGGGAGCU